CAGGAAUAAGCUCAGAAGAGGUAGAUUUUUAAAAAUUUAUUUCUUUUAAAUCUAGUGAAGCUUAUUUUCAUUCGUUUCGUUGUCAUUUGCACUGUAAGUUAUCAGAAUUUCUGUAACCCGAAAAUGAGUCCUAAGUGUAUAGAGUCUCAUGUAAAAAAACAGCUCUUCAGUGUUUGGUGGCAGCUGCUGCUCCUGGGUGGAGAUCCGCGCUGGCCUGGUUGGAUUUGACCAGAGGUUGCCAGUGAUGUGGCAAAGGAGGACACAAUAAAUCACAGCAUUUGAAGAGCAUCCCGAGUUCAAAGCUGUCUUCAUGCUUAUUCUCCCGAGCAUCCUUUCAAGCUAAGAAGAGCCCAGCUAGACAGCUUCCUGACUGGCCUCACAGGGCAUAUUGGAAAGGAGUGUAUCGGCAAUAAAGACUGCUGAGACAUGCCAAACUGCCUGGAAAAAGCAUGAGUUCAGAAGCCUGGAAGAAGCAAAGACCAGCCAAGCAGCUUAGAAGAAACAAGAACCAGCCUAGCUGCCAGGAAGAGGCUCACACAAUGGAGGCAUGCAGAACUAACACCCUCUGACCUAUUGAGCUGCCUGCAGGCUGUGCAGUGGGCCCCAGGUUCCCAGUUUUUGUGAGCUGUCAACCAUGGGGGCUGUGGGAGGGCUUUGGUGAUGGAUCUGUCUUUGAGUCAUUUCCGCUCCUGUAAGUAACCUCACAUUUGUAUUUCUGUAAGUAAUCUGGAUAAACCUCAUUGGUCUACCAAGAUAGACUUUGGUAGUAUCUGUACUUGCGUCUGUCUUCAGCUUUUUAUCUGGGGCAGGUAGACCAUUUGUUUAAGUCUCCCCAGGAAUAGUGUUUCACAACAAACAUGGAAUUGUGACAUUUAAAAGAAGGGUGUGCCCUAGAGCUAUUUUGAGCCAUGGUUCAAGUCUAAAGUCAAAGGGUCAAACAUGACUUGUCUUCAUUUCCUAAGCCGCUGAAAAGAUUAGUUCUAGGCGACUGAACAAGAAACCAGAGAAGCUAGUGGGUGCUAGUGAGCUGCUCCCGAAUCCUCCCAGCAGGGUGACUAGCAGACUGGAAUGUUCUUCUCUUGGUAGCUGAUAACCAGGCUGACAGAGAUCCAGGAUGCCCCCUCCCCCAGGCAGAUAUAUGUUCAUUUUGGUCUGCUUGGAAACUAUUCAUAUAAAAAUGGCAUGAAUCAAUCAAUGAUUCAAAUAUAAGGAAAAACAGUUUUAUCUUACCACACAUAUCACCCUACCCCCCCUACCCUAUCACCCCAUCAGGCUAUGAAAGUUUGCUUAAAAUUUUCAUAGUGUCUGUGAGAAUGAGUUACUAAAAGAAAAAUGGCCACCCCUCCCCCGCUGCCUUAUUUCUCUUUGUUUCAACGUGCGCCCCUUUGCGUGAUUUCAGGUUCACUCUGUGUAGAAUUUAAAACAAAAUCUCAGUUACAGAUCCUGAGACAGUCCCUCUUGUCUUUGACCUCAUAUUCAACAUCUACCCCCACGCCCGUCCCUGUCGCCGUGCCUGUUCCCCUUUGCUUUGCCCUUGUAUCUUUUCAUUUCCCUGUCAUUGCACCCGGGAGGACACAGCGCUCCACUUCUGUUAGACGCCUUCUCUGCAGUCUUUGAUUAAACCCUUCUUUGAAGUCUGUGAAACUGGAUACUAACUGACCUGUAAG
rnacentral:lncRNA from 1 species